rfam:Myotis brandtii contig282529, whole genome shotgun sequence.
GGCAGUUCUCGGGUGAUGCACCCCAGAAUCGGGCUCCCUCCUCUCUGUUUUUAGGGUGCAUCACUGGAGAACCACC